rnacentral:tRNA from 1 species
GUUAAUGUAGCUUAAACACAAAAGCAUGGCACUGAAAAUGCCAAGAUGGGCCGUGAAAAGCCCCAAUGA